UACGGAGGAUGCAAGCGUUAUCCGGAUUUAUUGGGUUUAAAGGGUGCGCAGGUUGUUUGAUAAGUCAGUGGUGAAAGUCUGUCGCUUAACGGUAGGAUUGCCAUUGAUACUGUUAGACUUGAAUAUGGAUGAGGUAGGCGGAAUGUGUAGUGUAGCGGUGAAAUGCAUAGAUAUUACACAGAACACCGAUUGCGAAGGCAGCUUACUGAACCAUAACUGACGCUCAUGCACGAAAGCGUGGGGAUCAAACAGGA
rnacentral:rRNA from 1 species